rnacentral:rRNA from 1 species
CUACGGGCCGCUGCAGUGGGGAAUUUUGCGCAAUGGGCGGAAGCCUGACGCAGCAAUACCGCGUGAGUGAAGAAGGCCUUUGGGUCGUAAAGCUCUUUUCUGAAGGAAGAUAGUGACGGUACUUCAGGAAUAAGCACCGGCUAACUCCGUGCCAGCAGCCGCGGUAAUACGGAGGGUGCAAGCGUUGUUCGGAUUUGCUGGGCGUAAAGGGCACGUAGGCGGCACAGCAAGUUAAGGGUGAAAUCCCGGGGCUCAACUCCGGAACUGCUCUUAAAACUGCUGAGCUAGAGAUAGUCAGAGGCGGGUGGAAUUCCUGGUGUAGAGGUGAAAUUCGUAGAUAUCAGGAGGAACACCGGUGGCGAAGGCGGCCCGCUGGGGCUAUUCUGACGCUAAGGUGCGAAAGCGUGGGGAGCGAACGGGAUUAGAUACCCCGGUAGUC